AACUCUUUUCCUUUUGUACUAUACACCCGUAGCAUACAACUUGAGGAAUAUGCCUAUCCUAUGUAGGAUGUCAAAAAUGGAUAAAUGGCCCUGUGCGGUCUGCCGGACUAGGUUCUAUCUGCUCAAUUUAUGCAGUCCGGCGGCAGUUUGCGGAGUCCCAGGGCCCUUCAAACUCAGGUCUUGCAAUGACUGCGAUUCCGACCAACGUGCAUGAAACAGUGCACUUCACACACCAUGGCAGAAGCGCGUACAGGCAUUCAUAGAAAAAAAAAGACAGACCCUAUCCUAUCACACUGGAUGAAUUACUGGAAGGGUUAUCCUGUAUUGAGAAAGUAAACACACAAAUCAACGGAUGUCCGUUGCCUCUGUCUCGAAUUUUUCGCAUCUUGGGCGUAAGGCUGGAUGCUGCCUCCUGGAGGCUAACUAAGGCAGCCAGUCAGAUAAUGCCUAGUCGCGGGUUAAUAUCGGGUUCCAACAUCACGCCGGAUCUGAUUCUGGCCCAUGGCCUGGUGGCCAGUGCAAGCUUUUUGAGACCGGCCUGUGGGGGUGUGAAGGCUGAACUCUGAAGCUCCGCAGAGGGAGGAAGGAAAGCAAGCGCACGAGCAUCCUGUUCAGCCACAGAGCCAAAAGUUUCGGUCGAAGCCCGGUGCUAGUUAACUCGUAAGCAUGGAAAUUCAAACGUCGAUGGUGGGUGUUUGGGAGUUGCAACUGUUCCAUGGGAUCGGGAUCACUUUGAUGAAGAGGUCCUCCAUUACAAAACGACCGUGUUGAACUGGCAUCCAGAUAUUUAUAAAUCGCGAAUAUGGACUAGGGAGG
rnacentral:sRNA from 2 species